rnacentral:rRNA from 1 species
CAAUAGCGUAUAUUUAAGUUGUUGCAGUUAAAAAGCUCGUAGUUGGAUUUCGGUUAAGAGCGACCGGUCCGCCGUUUGGUGUGCACUGGUUGGUUUUAACUUCCUGUAGAGGACGUGCUCUGGGUUUAACGACCUGGACUCGGAGUCUACGUGGUUACUUUGAAAAAAUUAGAGUGUUCAAAGCGGGCUUACGCUUGAAUAUUUCAGCAUGGAAUAACACUAUAGGACUCCUGUCCUAUUUCGUUGGUCUCGGGACGGGAGUAAUGAUUAAGAGGAACAGUUGGGGGCAUUCGUAUUUCAUUGUCAGAGGUGAAAUCCUUGGAUUUAUGAAAGACGAACUUCUGCGAAAGCAUUUGCCAAGGAUUUUUUCAUUAA